GUUUAAUUCGAUGCAACGCGAAGAACCUUACCUACCCUUGACAUCCUGCGAAUCCUAAUGAGAGUUGGGAGUGCCGAAAGGAACGCAGAGACAGGUGCUGCAUGGCUGUCGUCAGCUCGUGUUGUGAGAUGUUGGGUUAAGUCCCGUAACGAGCGCAACCCUUGUCCUUAGUUGCCAGCAUUAAGUUGGGGACUCUAAGGAGACUGCCGGUGAGGAACCGGAGGAAGGCGGGGACGACGUCAAGUCAUCAUGGCCUUUAUGGGUAGGGCUACACACGUGCUACAAUGGGGCGUACAGAGAGUCGCGAACCCGCGAGGGGGAGCCAAUCUCCAAAAGCGUCUCGUAGUCCGGAUUGGAGUCUGCAACUCGACUCCAUGAAGUUGGAAUCGCUAGUAAUCGCGAAUCAGCAUUGUCGCGGUGAAUACGUUCCCGGGCCUUGUACACACCGCC
rnacentral:rRNA from 1 species